GAUGAACGCUGGCGGCGUGCCUAAUACAUGCAAGUCGAGCGAACGGACGAGAAGCUUGCUUCUCUGAUGUUAGCGGCGGACGGGUGAGUAACACGUGGAUAACCUACCUAUAAGACUGGGAUAACUUCGGGAAACCGGAGCUAAUACCGGAUAAUAUUUUGAACCGCAUGGUUCAAAAGUGAAAGACGGUCUUGCUGUCACUUAUAGAUGGAUCCGCGCUGCAUUAGCUAGUUGGUAAGGUAACGGCUUACCAAGGCAACGAUGCAUAGCCGACCGGAGAGGGUGAUCGCCCACACUGGAACGGAGCCACGGUCCAGACUCCUACGGGAGGCAGCAGUAGGGAAUCUUCCGCAAUGGGCGAAAGCCUGACGGAGCAACGCCGCGUGAGUGAUGAAGGUCUUCGGAUCGUAAAACUCUGUUAUUAGGGAAGAACAUAUGUGUAAGUAACUGUGCACAUCUUGACGGUACCUAAUCAGAAAGCCACGGCUAACUACGUG
rnacentral:rRNA from 1 species